AUUGAACGCUGGCGGCAUGCCUUACACAUGCAAGUCGAACGGCAGCACGGGGCAACCUGGUGGCGAGUGGCGAACGGGUGAGUAAUGCAUCGGAACGUACCUUUCAGUGGGGGAUAACGUAGCGAAAGUUACGCUAAUACCGCAUAUUCUGUGAGCAGGAAAGCAGGGGAUCGCAAGACCUUGCGCUGAUUGAGCGGCCGAUGUCAGAUUAGCUAGUUGGUGAGGUAAAGGCUCACAAAGGCGACGAUCUGUAGCGGGUCUGAGAGGAUGAUGCGCCACACUGGAACUGAGGCACGGUACAGACACCUACGGGAGGCAGCAGUGGGGAAUUGUGGACAAUGGGGGCAACCCUGAUCCAGCCAUGCCGCGUGAGUGAAGAAGGCCUUCGGGUUGUAAAGCUCUUUCGGCCGGGAAGAAAUCGCACGGGCUAAUACCCUGUGUGGAUGACGGUACCGGAAUAAGAAGCACUGGCUAACUACGUGCCAGCCGCCGCAGUAAGAC
rnacentral:rRNA from 1 species